rnacentral:lncRNA from 1 species
CAAGUGUUUAUGGUACAGCGGGCGACGGCGAAACCGCCACAACAGGAAGCCGAGGGCCCAAAGGGAAAAAAAAAGAAGAAAAAAAGGGUGCGCUGCGGCGCCAGCGGCGAAAAGAAAAAAGGUCACGCGCCUGCAAAAGAGGCCACACACCAACGGGCCAGGGAAAAGGGCGAGAGGGGCGUGUCGGCGUCGUUGCCCUCUUUGGCCGAUUUCGACGCGGCACGCGCAGCCACAGGGUCGACGGGCAAACCGCGCGCAUACCAGUGGCGCUUGCCGUCGGCCUCGAUAAUGGCCGGAAGACGAACGCAGCCGUCGCCGGCGCAGGCGGGAUCGCCCGGCGCACAGUCGCACCGAUGACGCAGGCCGUCCACGUACCAGUCGCGCCGGCCGUCUGGCCACUCGAUGGCCGGCAGGGACCGACACCGCACGGCCGGAUCGGGCAGCGAAUGGAGGCGGCUUUCGCGAUAGCGUUCCAGCCGCACCAAACCGUCGACGUCGCGCACAGUCACGGUGCCCGUGCACAUGCGGCGCCACUCGUCGGCCGAAAUACGGCGCACGACACAGAGUGCGUCCGUGGCGAUGCACCCGCCGCCGUCGCACACGACGAUCCCGAGGGCCUCCACCUCGACAAAGGCAAGAUCGGGCGGUGGGAACGAGCGGACGAGUGCACCACGCACGUGCAUGUCGACUGCACAAUCGAGCGGCGUGCGCCCAUAGUGGAGGCCCGCACGACCGGGUCGGAUCGAGACUGUCGGCGGUAGGGUCGUGGUGGCACCCACGUUAUAGGCACACGACGGGUCGAUGAGCGAGGUCAGGUCGGCGCGGAGGACCUUGUAGCCCCUGGUGGGCGCCACGCCGUUGCAAGGAUGGUUCUUGGAGGCGCUCGGACGCCGGCGUCGGGCCGCUGCCGGUCGCAUGUUGCCGCUGUUGUUGUGGGUGGCCAUUUUUUGGGGCGACAAGUAGAUACCUAAAGGCGGCCAAUGCUUUUUUGUGAU